UGGGGAAUCUUGCACAAUGGGGGCAACCCUGAUGCAGCGACGCCGCGUGAGCGAUGACGCCCUUCGGGGCGUAAAGCUCUUUCGACCGGAACGAUAAUGACGGUACCGGGAGAAGAAGCUGCGGCUAACUACGUGCCAGCAGCCGCGGUAAUACGUAGGCAGCAAGCGUUGUUCGGAGUUACUGGGCGUAAAGAGUGCGUAGGCGGUUUUCUAAGUUCGGUGUGAAAUCUCCCGGCUUAACUGGGAGGGUGCGCCGAAGACUGGGAAGCUGGAGUGUGGGAAAGGCAGGCGGAAUUCCUGGUGUAGCGGUGAAAUGCGUAGAUAUCAGGAGGAACACCGGCGGUGUAGACGGCUUGCUAGACCAUAACUGACGCUGAGGCACGAAAGCGUGGGUAGCAAACA
rnacentral:rRNA from 1 species